GAUGAACGCUAGCUACAGGCUUAACACAUGCAAGUCGAGGGGAAACGACAUCGAAAGCUUGCUUUUGAUGGGCGUCGACCGGCGCACGGGUGAGUAACGCGUAUCCAACCUGCCCAUCACUUGGGAAUAACCUUGCGAAAGUAAGACUAAUACCCAAUGACAUCCCACGAAGACAUCUGAAUGGGAUUAAAGAUUUAUCGGUGAUGGAUGGGGAUGCGUCUGAUUAGCUUGUUGGCGGGGUAACGGCCCACCAAGGCAACGAUCAGUAGGGGUUCUGAGAGGAAGGUCCCCCACAUUGGAACUGAGACACGGUCCAAACUCCUACGGGAGGCAGCAGUGAGGAAUAUUGGUCAAUGGGCGAGAGCCUGAACCAGCCAAGUAGCGUGCAGGAUGACGGCCCUAUGGGUUGUAAACUGCUUUUAUAAGGGAAUAAAGUGGGUCUCGUGAGACUUUUUGCAUGUACCUUAGGAAUAAGGACCGGCUAAUUCCGG
rnacentral:rRNA from 1 species